AAUUCACUAGUGAUUUUCCGGUUGAUCCUGCCGGAGGUCACUGCUAUCGGGGUUCGAUUAAGCCAUGCGAGUUGAGAGGGUUUAGACCCUCGGCGGACUGCUCAGUAACACGUGGAUAACCUGCCCUAAGGUGGAGGAUAACCCCGGGAAACUGGGGAUAAUACUCCAUAGACCAGAGUGACUGGAAUGUUUUCUGGUCGAAAGUUCCGGCGCCUUAGGAUGGAUCUGCGGCCGAUUAGGUAGUUGUUGGGGUAACGGCCCAACAAGCCAGUCAUCGGUACGGGUUGUGGGAGCAAGAGCCCGGAGAUGGAAUCUGAGACACGAUUCCAGGCCCUACGGGGCGCAGCAGGCGCGAAAACUUUACAAUGCAGGAAACUGUGAUAAGGGAACCCCGAGUGCUCGUACACGCGAGCUGUCCAGGUGUGUAAAAAGCAUCUGAAGAAAGGGCCGGGCAAGACCGGUGCCAGCCGCCGCGGUAAUACCGGCGGCUCGAGUGGUGGCCACUAUUAUUGGGCUUAAAGCGUUCGUAGCUGGACUCUUAAGUCUCCUGGGAAAUCCGCCGGCUCAACCGGCGGGCGUCCAGGAGAUACUGGGAGUCUUGGAACCGGAUAGAGGUAAGAGGUACUUCGGGGUUACGGAGUGAAAUCCUGU
rnacentral:rRNA from 1 species